rnacentral:rRNA from 1 species
ACAAGCGGUGAGCAUGUGGUUAAUUCGAAGCAACGCGAAGAACCUUACCAGGCCUUGACAUGCAGAGAACUUUCCAGAGAUGGAUUGGUGCCUUCGGGAACUCUGACACAGGUGCUGCAUGGCUGUCGUCAGCUCGUGUCGUGAGAUGUUGGGUUAAGUCCCGCAACGAGCGCAACCCUUGUCAUUAGUUGCUACAUUCAGUUGGGCACUCUAAUGAGACUGCCGGUGACAAGCCGGAGGAAGUGGGGAUGACGUCAAGUCCUCAUGGCCCUUAUAGGUGGGGCUACACACGUCAUACAAUGGCUGGUACAAAGGGUUGCCAACCCGCGAGGGGGAGCCAAUCCCAUAAAGCCAGUCGUAGUCCGGAUCGUAGUCUGCAACUCGACUACGUGAAGUCGGAAUCGCUAGUAAUCGUGGAUCAGAAUGUCACGGUGAAUACGUUCCCGGGUCUU